CCCUUAGAUGUUCUGGGCUGCACGCGCGCUACACUGAUGCGCUCAACGAGUUUUAACCUUGCCUGGAAAGGUUGGGUAAUCUUUUUAAAACGCUUCGUGAUGGGGAUAGAUUAUUGCAAUUAUUAAUCUUCAACGAGGAAUUCCUAGUAAGUGCGAGUCAUCAGCUUGCGCUGACUACGUCCCUGCCCCUUGUACACACCGCCCGUCGCUGCCCGGAACUGAGCCGUUUCGAGAAAGCCGGGGACCGACGACUUGUGGGUGCGCAAGCACUUCUAGUCGAUGGAAACCAGUUUAAUCGGUAUGGCUUGAACCGGGCAAAAGUCGUAACA
rnacentral:rRNA from 1 species